UACAGAGGUCUCAAGCGUUGUUCGGAUUCAUUGGGCGUAAAGGGUGCGUAGGCGGCGCGGUAAGUCGGGUGUGAAAUCUCGGGGCUUAACUCCGAAACUGCAUUCGAUACUGCCGUGCUUGAGGACUGGAGAGGAGACUGGAAUUUACGGUGUAGCAGUGAAAUGCGUAGAUAUCGUAAGGAAGACCAGUGGCGAAGGCGGGUCUCUGGACAGUUCCUGACACUGAGGCACGAAGGCCAGGGGAGCAAACGGG
rnacentral:rRNA from 1 species